CAUGGUGCCCCAGGUUGAUGAGUUAAUAAUUGCUUGAUUCAUCGCUUAAUUCAUUUAAUCUCGCAAUUAUAAACCGUUAAUCAUUCGAUGAGCAACAGUCGUCACAUUAACUAAUACAACGUCACGACAAUAUGUAGGAGGUGGAACAACAUGGUCGGUUAAGGCAUAUUGAGCAGGGCUCGAGGCUCUACAGUGAAAUAAGACAGUAAUCACUAACCAGGACAGUAAUGGACGAGGCAUAUUGAUAUUAGAGAGUGGCAUGCGUAGCCAAGUGAACAUAUGGGUCCAGUGAUUGGUUGGGCUGACUGGGGACACGCGAUUCAGACAGUUAGCAGGCCGAUGCUAACAAGCUAACAGUUAGUAGGCCGGGGCUAAACAAGCUAGCAAUUAGCAGACCGGGGCUGGCAAGCUAGCAGUUAGCAGACCGGGUUAGCAAGCAAGUAGUUGGCAGACCUGGGCUAGCGGUUAGCAGACCGGGGCAGGCAAGCUAGCAGUUAGCAGACCGGGGCUAGCAAGUUAGCCUUUGGGGGACGUCGCAAUGGGGGCCCACACCUCUUCCCCGUCUCAUCGUCGGCCAACCGGCGUACACGCUGAGGCGCCUCCUGAAAGUUUGACCGCGGGGCAGGGGAUUCCAAUACCUGGUUGUCUGGGAGGGUUAUGACCCGCAGGAGAGGUGCUAGGUCCCCGCUAGGGACAUCCUGGACCCAGGUCUCAUUGCUGAGUUCCAACACCGGCACGCCCAUCUUCCUCAUUAUCCCCAUUGUAUUUAUACCUGUGCUCUCUGUUUGUCUGUUGCCAGUUAGUUUUGUUUCAUCAAGCGUACCAGCGUUUUGCCCCCGUGCUCCUGUCUGUCUCUAGUCCCUGUUUUCUAGCUUUCCCGGUUUUUAACCAUUCUGCCUGCCCUGACCCUGCCUGUCGUUCUGUACCUUGUCACACCACCAUGGAUUACUGACCUCUGCCUGCCCUGACCCUGAGCCUGCCUGCCGUUCUGUACCUUUCAGACUAUGCUCUGGACUACUGACCUCUGCCUGCCCUUGACCUGUCGUUUGCCUACCCCCUGUUUUUGUAAAAAACUUUUGAUACUUCGAAACUCUGCAUCUGGGUCUUCUCCUGAACAGUGACAGGUGGAGUGUUGUAGAGAUGGUUGUCCUUCUGGAAGGUUCUCCCAUCUCCACAGAGGAACUCUGGAGCUCUGUCAGAGUGACCAUCGGGUUCUUGGUCACCUCCCUGACCAAGGCCCUUCUCCCCCGAUUUCUCAGUUUGGCCAGUCGGCCAGCUCUAGGAAGAGUCUUGGUGGUUCCAAACUUUUUCCAUUUAAGAAUGAUGGAGGCUACUGUGUUCUUGAGGACCUUCAAUACUGCAGAAAUGAUUUGGUGCCCUUCCCCAGAUCUGUGCCUCAACACAAUCCUGUCUCACAGAUCUAUCGACAAUUCCUUCGACCUCACCUCAUGUGGGACCUUAUAUAAACAGCUGCACUGGACUGAAUGUGAAUGGAGGGAGAAGGCAUGAUCGGAAUGAGAAAAGAAGACACGUUCUCCGGGUGGGGGGGCUGAAUAAAUGUGACUUCAUGUAAUCUGUAUGUGCAUCACAACAAUGCAAGACGGCCUUCAUACUUCAGGCUAUCUGUGUCUU
rnacentral:lncRNA from 1 species